GGGGCUAUGGCGCAAUUGGUAGCGCACCUGCUUUGCAAGCAGGGGGUUACGGGUUCGAGUCCCGUUAGCUCCAC
rnacentral:tRNA from 6 species